rnacentral:rRNA from 1 species
UACGAAGGGGGCGAGCGUUGUUCGGAUUUACUGGGCGUAAAGGGCGCGUAGGCGGCGCGAGAAGUCGAGUGUGAAAGCCCCGGGCUCAACCUGGGAAUUGCGCUCGAUACUCUUGUGCUUGAGUUCGGGAGAGGAGCGUGGAAUUCCCAGUGUAGAGGUGAAAUUCGUAGAUAUUGGGAAGAACACCGGUGGCGAAGGCGGCGCUCUGGACCGAGACUGACGCUGAGGCGCGAAAGCGUGGGAGCAACAGG